GUAAAGCGUGCGCAGGCGGUUCGGAAAGAAAGAUGUGAAAUCCCAGGACUCAACCUUGGAACUGCAUUUUUAACUCCCGGACUAGAGUAUGUCAGAGGGGGGUGGAAUUCCACGUGUGGCAGUGAAAUGCGUAGAGAUGUGGAGGAACACCGAUGGCGAAGGCAGCCCCCUGGGAUAAUACUGACGCUCAGGCACGAAAGUGUGGGUAGCAAACAGGAUUAGAUACCCUGGUAGUCCACGCCCUAAACGAUGUCAACUAGCUGUUGGGUUCUUCGGAGCUUAGUAGCGCAGCUAACGCGUGAAGUUGACCGCCUGGGGAGUACGGUCGCAAGAUUAAAACUCAAAGGAAUUGACGGGGACCCGCACAAGCGGUGGAUGAUGUGGAUUAAUUCGAUGCAACGCGAAAAACCUUACCUACCCUUGACAUGUCUGGAAUCCCGAAGAGAUUUGGGAGUGCUCGCAAGAGAACCGGAACACAGGUGCUGCAUGGCUGUCGUCAGCCCGUGUCGUGAGAUGUUGGGUUAAGUCCCGCAACGAGCGCAACCCUUGUCAUUAGUUGCUACGAAAGGGCACUCUAAUGAGACUGCCGGUGACAAACCGGAGGAAGGUGGGGAUGACGUCAAGUCCUCAUGGCCCUUAUGGGUAGGGCUUCACACGUCAUACAAUGGUCGGGACAGAGGGUCGCCAACCCGCGAGGGGGAGCCAAUCCCAGAAACCCGAUCGUAGUCCGGAUUGUAGUCUGCAACUCGACUACAUGAAGUCGGAA
rnacentral:rRNA from 1 species